rnacentral:rRNA from 1 species
UACGGAGGGUGCAAGCGUUAUCCGGAUUCACUGGGUUUAAAGGGCGCGUAGGCGGAUUAGAAAGUCCGUUGUGAAAUCUCUGAGCUUAACUCGGAAAUUGCGGUGGAUACUAUUAGUCUUGAAUACUGUGGAGGUUAGCGGAAUAUGUCAUGUAGCGGUGAAAUGCAUAGAUAUGACAUAGAACACCAAUUGCGAAGGCAGCUGGCUACACAGAUAUUGACGCUGAGGCACGAAAGCGUGGGGAUCAAACAGG